GCUUGUUAUGACAUAGAGGCAGGACAUUUACCAUGCCGCUGUGGAUAUUGGAAUUCUUACUGCACGCCGUUUCUUUCAUCUGCGGAUUGGUCUCUGCUGCUUUGGUGGCGAGUGUCCAGGCGCGUAACCAUGGUGUGUGUCUGCUGUACGGGUCCCUGCACUACAACUCCUCUGUGGCCGUCAUCAGUGUCAACUCCUCCAGUCACCCCUCUCUCUGCCGCUUCGUCACCGCCAUCCCAGCUGCCACCUGCGUCUUCAGCUUCCUACACAUGCUCAUAGGCGUCUGCUCAUGCUGCACACGUCAUGACGUGAGGGGGUGCCCAUGCCGUGUGGUGAC